AAAUUGAAGAGUUUGAUCAUGGCUCAGAUUGAACGCUGGCGGCAGGCCUAACACAUGCAAGUCGAACGGUAACAGAAAGCAGCUUGCUGCUUUGCUGACGAGUGGCGGACGGGUGAGUAAUGUCUGGGAAACUGCCUGAUGGAGGGGGAUAACUACUGGAAACGGUAGCUAAUACCGCAUAAUGUCGCAAGACCAAAGAGGGGGACCUUCGGGCCUCUUGCCAUCGGAUGUGCCCAGAUGGGAUUAGCUAGUAGGUGGGGUAACGGCUCACCUAGGCGACGAUCCCUAGCUGGUCUGAGAGGAUGACCAGCCACACUGGAACUGAGACACGGUCCAGACUCCUACGGGAGGCAGCAGUGGGGAAUAUUGCACAAUGGGCGCAAGCCUGAUGCAGCCAUGCCGCGUGUAUGAAGAAGGCCUUCGGGUUGUAAAGUACUUUCAGCGGGGAGGAAGGGAGUAAAGUUAAUACCUUUGCUCAUUGACGUUACCCGCAGAAGAAGCACCGGCUAACUCCGUGCCAGCAGCCGCGGUAAUACGGAGGGUGCAAGCGUUAAUCGGAAUUACUGGGCGUAAAGCGCACGCAGGCGGUUUGUUAAGUCAGAUGUGAAAUCCCCGGGCUCAACCUGGGAACUGCAUCUGAUACUGGCAAGCUUGAGUCUCGUAGAGGGGGGUAGAAUUCCAGGUGUAGCGGUGAAAUGCGUAGAGAUCUGGAGGAAUACCGGUGGCGAAGGCGGCCCCCUGGACGAAGACUGACGCUCAGGUGCGAAAGCGUGGGGAGCAAACAGGAUUAGAUACCCUGGUAGUCCACGCCGUAAACGAUGUCGACUUGGAGGUUGUGCCCUUGAGGCGUGGCUUCCGGAGCUAACGCGUUAAGUCGACCGCCUGGGGAGUACGGCCGCAAGGUUAAAACUCAAAUGAAUUGACGGGGGCCCGCACAAGCGGUGGAGCAUGUGGUUUAAUUCGAUGCAACGCGAAGAACCUUACCUGGUCUUGACAUCCACGGAAGUUUUCAGAGAUGAGAAUGUGCCUUCGGGAACCGUGAGACAGGUGCUGCAUGGCUGUCGUCAGCUCGUGUUGUGAAAUGUUGGGUUAAGUCCCGCAACGAGCGCAACCCUUAUCCUUUGUUGCCAGCGGUCCGGCCGGGAACUCAAAGGAGACUGCCAGUGAUAAACUGGAGGAAGGUGGGGAUGACGUCAAGUCAUCAUGGCCCUUACGACCAGGGCUACACACGUGCUACAAUGGCGCAUACAAAGAGAAGCGACCUCGCGAGAGCAAGCGGACCUCAUAAAGUGCGUCGUAGUCCGGAUUGGAGUCUGCAACUCGACUCCAUGAAGUCGGAAUCGCUAGUAAUCGUGGAUCAGAAUGCCACGGUGAAUACGUUCCCGGGCCUUGUACACACCGCCCGUCACACCAUGGGAGUGGGUUGCAAAAGAAGUAGGUAGCUUAACCUUCGGGAGGGCGCUUACCACUUUGUGAUUCAUGACUGGGGUGAAGUCGUAACAAGGUAACCGUAGGGGAACCUGCGGUUGGAUCACCUCCUUACCUUAAAGAAGC
rnacentral:rRNA from 1 species